rnacentral:rRNA from 1 species
UGAACGCUGGCGGCGUGCUUAACACAUGCAAGUCGAACGAGAACGGUCCUUCGGGAUGUCAGCUAAGUGGCGGACGGGUGAGUAAUGUAUAGUUAAUCUGCCCUUUAGAGGGGGAUAACAGUUGGAAACGACUGCUAAUACCCCAUACUCCUUUUAUCUUAAUGAUAAUUGGGAAAUGUUUUUUCGCUAAAGUAUGAGACUAUAUGGUAUCAGGUAGUUGGUGGGGUAAGAGCCUACCAAGCCAAUGACGCCUAGCUGGUCUGAGAGGAUGAUCAGCCACACUGGAACUGAGACACGGUCCAGACUCCUACGGGAGGCAGCAGUGGGGAAUAUUGCACAAUGGAGGAAACUCUGAUGCAGCAACGCCGCGUGGAGGAUGACGCAUUUCGGUGUGUAAACUCCUUUUAUAUGGGAAGAUAAUGACGGUACCAUAUGAAUAAGCACCGGCUAACUCC